rnacentral:rRNA from 1 species
UACGUAGGGUGCGAGCGUUAAUCGGAAUUCCUGGGCGUAAAGUGUGCGCAGGCGGCCGAGCAAGUCGAGUGUGAAAGCCCCGAGCUUAACUUGGGAACUGCGCUCGAAACUACUUGGCUAGAGUGUGGCAGAGGGAGGUGGAAUUCCACGUGUAGCGGUGAAAUGCGUAGAUAUCGGGAGGAACACCAAUGGCGAAGGCAGCUCGCUGGGACGGUACUGACGCUGAGACGCGAAAGCGUGGGGAGCAAACAGG